GCUCGUCUGAAGCUCAUUAUUAAUACCAGUUUCCACCUGGUCUGGACCAUUAAAGAUCCCUGAAACUGCAGAUUUACUCUUAGCAUCUUCUACCCCCAGUAUCCUGAAUGGGUUAAUAACUAUCUUGCUAAAAUACUGUUGCAUUUCCCCCUGCUCACUAGCAACAGAUUCACUAGAGAUGACUGUUGUACAGAGAGAGGAGCAAAACUGAUGAAAACUCUGAUGCUUGUAUUAUGUACUACUGAGUCAGGCGGAAGUGAUUCCAAGAGUAAAACAUCAAGACACCACAACAAAUGCUGUAUGCAUUCUUAAAAUACAAGAAAUCAACUGGGAAUUAGGGGCCAUAAAAUUAGAAGUAGGUACAGCAUCUCAGGGGUCACGUCUCUCCAUGCUGCCUCUGUAGCGUUAUGACUCUGGAUGGAAGGGCUUCACAUCAGUCUGCACUGUCCCAGUACUGAGGUCCUGAAUGUUCUGUAUUCUUCCAAAUGAAUUAGGGAAAAAAAAAGUUUUCUAUAAAUAUAAAACAGAUCUUAAACUUUAAAGCAGAAUGAAAUUAGUGAUUUAAAGAGUCAGUAAUGAAUUGACUUCUAAAUAAUACAACCUUUAAAGUUAUUUUGAAUGACUUAAGGUAA